AUCUGAUGAUGGGGGCAGCUAGCACAAAGUUUCUUGAAACGCUCCCAAUAUUCGUACAAACUUUCCCUCUCCAGCUGCCUAAUACCACAUAUUUCCUUUCUUAUGGA